UAUACUUUUUUAAGGGGCAAUUACUUAUAUACCCUUGAAAAGUUCCCGACUUUCCGAUUUACCCCUCUUAGAAGGAUAAUAUUGAAAAUACCAUUCCUACGUUCCAACCUAUUUCUAAUAUACCCCUAGAGUUAAAAUCUGUUAAUUAACUCUGUUAUCUAUGUAAAAUUACUAUUUUGCCCUUUCAAAUAUAUCCUUCCACGAUCACUGUCUUUCUUAUUUGCCCUUAAAGUCAGGGGUACAAAAAGUAUUUUGACUUUUGGUCUUUUCCAAUAUACCUCUCUACCGUCACCAACCUUUCUUAUUUGCCCUUAAGUUAAGGGCAAAAUUAACAUUUUAAUUUUUUUUAAUUGUGGUAGAUAUUUAACUCAUAUUUAACCCAGGUUAACUCAACAGGAGAUAACUGUAGGGGUAUUUUGCAAUAACGGUGGAACAUAUAAGUGGUAUUUUAGAAAGAAAAAAAAAAAAGAGUAAAUCGGAUAUUUUCAAACGUAUGAGGGGUAUAUAGACAAUUAUCCCCUUUUUUAAUUAACUUAAGGGCGCGUUUGAUUCGCACUAUAAAAAAUUAUUAGGAGUAAAAAGAUAUUCGAGAAUUUUAUUCCUAUCCAUCCUAUUACUAAGAAUGUAGUAUUUCAGUGUUUGGUUCGUACGGUCAUAUUAUUUAGUCAUGUUAUUUAAAAUUAUAAACAAUAUACAAUUAAUUAAUUAAUUUAAUUAAUUAAUUUUAAAUAAUACUAUAAAAAAUUUUAACAUCUUUUUAGAAAAAAGAGAGAGAGAAUAUAGGUUAGAAAGAGAGAGCAUAAUUAAAGAAAUAGAAAGAGAAAUAGAGUCGAUGUUAGAGAGAAUGAGAGGAUUGAGAUUUUAGAAAAAGAGGGGGAGAAAUAGCUUAAUUUAGAGAGAGAAAAAAAGUUGAAGUUUAGGAAAAAAAAGAUAAGUUUAAAGAGAGAGAUAUGAGGUUAGAGUGUAAAAAAAAUAAUACCAACUAGCCGGCGGUUGGGGAAAAAAAAGAGAUUAGACAUAUUACAAUUACUCCAAUACAUUAAUAUAAGGAUUAACACCCUUCCUCAAAGGAAUGAGAUUAGUACUUUGGAAUGCAUCUCAUUACACUGUCAUAUUUUUUUUUAUUUCUAUUGAAUUAUUAGAAAUCUUAAAAAGAUAGCGCGAACUAAACACACCCUAAAAAUUAAUUGAAGGUGUCAUGU
rnacentral:lncRNA from 1 species